rnacentral:rRNA from 1 species
GUCCGAUUAGCUAUUUGAUGGGGUAACGGCCUACCAAGCCGACGAUCGGUAGCGGGUCUGAGAGGCCGAUCCGCCACACUGGGACUGAGACACGGCCCAGACUCCUACGGGAGGCAGCAGUGGGGAAUCUUGGACAAUGGGGGCAACCCUGAUCCAGCAAUGCCGCGUGGAUGAAGAAGGCCUUCGGGUUGUAAAGCCCUUUCGGCAGGGAAGAAAUCGGCGGGGCGAAUAACCCUGCUGGAUGACGGUACCUGCAGAAGAAGCACCGGCUAACUACGUGCCAGCAGCCGCGGUAAUACGUAGGGUGCGAGCGUUAAUCGGAUUUACUGGGCGUAAAGCGUGCGCAGGCGGCCCGUUAAGACAGGUGUGAAAUCCCUGGGCUCAACCUAGGAAUUGCGCUUGUGACUGGCGGGCUCGAGUACGGUAGAGGGGGGUGGAAUUCCUGGUGUAGCAGUGAAAUGCGUAGAGAUCAGGAGGAACACCGAUGGCGAAGGCAGCCCCCUGG